rnacentral:rRNA from 1 species
GAGACAGCAGCAGCCGCGGGAAUACGGAGGGUGCAAGCGUUAAUCGGAAUUACUGGGCGUAAAGCGCACGCAGGCGGUCUGACAAGUCAGAUGUGAAAUCCCCGGGCUUAACCUGGGAACUGCAUUUGAAACUGUCAGGCUGGAGUCUUGUAGAGGGGGGUGGAAUUCCAGGUGUAGCGGUGAAAUGCGUAGAGAUCUGGAGGAAUACCGGUGGCGAAGGCGGCCCCCUGGACAAAGACUGACGCUCAGGUGCGAAAGCGUGGGGAGCAAACAGGAUUAGAUACCCCAGUAGUCCCUGUCUCUUAUAC